UAUGUAUAGCAGUGAGUUCAGCCUUCUGUCCGUCUGCGGCGCUCCUCCUGAGGUGUUACUCCCUUGUGUUAGUGAACCGCUGCUCCUCAAGUGGCUCCGCUGGAGGAUUCGGGCCCCGAUGACUCACGCCAUCUGUUAGCAGCUCUUGUACGAUCACACUUCUGUGUUCCUUCCAAUAAACAGAAAGAGCCAGUGAUUUUGCAGAGAUGCUUUGAUGGUCCAGAGAAACACUCUACAGAAGAACCCACAGAAAGCGCUACCACCGAUGUCCAAAACAUUACAAAGUUCUCCUUUCACUGUCCUCUCAGUCGGAGCACCUCAUCUCUUUUUGUCACCCUCUUGGAUGUCUCUCUGUUCC